CACUUUGGAUAAUAGUGCUAAAUUAAUAAAUGUAAAUGUAAAUAAAUGUAAAUUUAGCUCUGGGAAGUCAGGGAAGAUAUGUAGGUCUAGUUAUAGAUAGAUGGAUAUAUAGAUAGAUA